UUUGAGAAGUGGAAAAGAGCUCCAAGAUGCUAGAUAUGAGGAAGAAAAGCAAGUUGCACAAGAGCCUGCCCCAUCUGAAACCACCCUUGCGCCAUCUGCGCAACCCCAUCUCCAUGAGCCAGCCUCUCCAGCGCAAUCUGAAACAUCACCUGCGCAAAAGACUGAACCAAAGGAACGUUUUCACAUUCCACCUCCUUUUCCAAAAAGAUUUGAAAG
rnacentral:lncRNA from 1 species